UACGGAGGAUCCAAGCGUUAUCCGGAAUCAUUGGGUUUAAAGGGUCCGUAGGCGGACCAGUAAGUCAGUGGUGAAAUCUCCCGGCUCAACCGGGAAAUGGCCAUUGAUACUGCUGGUCUUGAAUUAUUAGGAAGUAACUAGAAUAUGUAGUGUAGCGGUGAAAUGCUUAGAUAUUACAUGGAAUACCAAUUGCGAAGGCAGGUUACUACCAGUGGAUUGACGCUGAUGGACGAAAGCGUGGGGAGCGAACAGG
rnacentral:rRNA from 1 species